CUGUUCGCCAUUUAAAGUGGUACGCGAGCUGGGUUUAGAACGUCGUGAGACAGUUCGGUCCCUAUCUGCCGUGGGCGUUGGAAGAUUGAAGGGGGCUGCUCCUAGUACGAGAGGACCGGAGUGGACGAACCUCUGGUGUUCGGGUUGUGUCGCCAGACGCAUUGCCCGGUAGCUAAGUUCGGAAUCGAUAACCGCUGAAAGCAUCUAAGCGGGAAGCGAGCCUUGAGAUGAGUUCUCCCUGAUACUUUAAGUAUCCUAAAGGGUUGUCGUAGACUACGACGUUGAUAGGCAGGGUGUGUAAGCGUUGUGAGGCGUUGAGCUAACCUGUACUAAUUGCCCGUGAGGCUUAACCAU
rnacentral:rRNA from 1 species